rnacentral:rRNA from 1 species
UACAGAGGGGGCAAGCGUUGUUCGGAAUUACUGGGCGUAAAGGGUGCGUAGGCGGCCAUGUAAGUGGGGUGUGAAAUCCCGGGGCUUAACCCCGGGACUGCAUUCCAUACUGCGGUGCUUGAGGACUGGAGAGGAGACUGGAAUUUACGGUGUAGCAGUGAAAUGCGUAGAGAUCGUAAGGAAGACCAGUGGCGAAGGCGGGUCUCUGGACAGUUCCUGACACUGAGGCACGAAGGCCAGGGGAGCAAACGGG